CGCAUCUGUGCAUGCAGUAUAUCAAUAAGCGGAGGAAAAGAAACUAACAAGGAUUCUCUUAGUAACGGCGAGUGAAGCGGGAAGAGCUCAAAUUUGAAAUCUUCAAGGUUUUACCUUGACGAAUUGUAGUUUAAAGAAGUGUUUUCUGUUGAAGUUUUGGUAAAAGUUCUUUGGAAUAGGACAUCAUAGAGGGUGAGAAUCCCGUAUUUGACCAUUAUUUUCAGCUGUGUGAUACACUUUCAAAGAGUCGGAUUGUUUGGGAAUGCAGUCCAAAAUGGGUGGUAAAUUUCAUCUAAAGCUAAAUAUUGGCGAGAGACCGAUAGCGAACAAGUACCGUGAGGGAAAGAUGAAAAGAACUUUGAAAAGAGAGUUAAACAGUACGUGAAAUUGUCAAAAGGGAAGCGUUUGACACCAGUGUCGUUUUCUCGAAAAUCAAUUAAAAAGAGUUAGAUUUUGUUGUGUAUUGACCUUAACAGCUUGCAUUUCAAUUUUCUUGCUUUUUUUAAUGCACUUUUCGUUUAACAAGUCAACAUCAGUUUCUUUUGUUGUAAAAAGGUCAUUGGAAGGUGGCUUUCUUUUCGGAGAAAGUGUUUAUAGCCUUUGACUCCUGCAAUCGGAGAGACUGAGGUCUGCAGCGUAGAUCCUUCGGGGUUAGAUACAUUUGUGCUAAGUUAUAGCUUUUUAUAGACAACUUGUUGACUAUGAUUAGUCUUGUAGCUUACUCGCUUAUGCUAUUUUACCUACGCUUAGGAUGUUGAUGUGAUACUGCGAGC
rnacentral:rRNA from 1 species